rnacentral:rRNA from 1 species
CUGCUCAAUGAAUUUUAAAUAGCUGCAAUAAUUUAAUUGUACUAAGGUAGCAUAAUAAAUAGAUUUAUAAUUUAAAUCUAGAAUGAAAGAUUAAAUGAAAUAAAAAUUGUCUCAAAUAAAUUAAUAAAAUUUUAUUUAAGUUAAAAUUCUUAAAUAAAUAAAAAAGACGAAAAGACCCUAUAGAAUUUUAUAAUUUAAUUUAUAAUUUAAAUUUAACUUUUAUAUUAAAUAAAUUAAAAUAUUUAUUUGGGGUAAAUUUAAAAUUUAAAUAACUUUUAAAAAAUAUCAACAAUUAUUUUUGAAAUAAUAAUGAUCCUUAAUAAAGAUUAUUAAAAAAAAUUACCUUAGGGAUAACAGCAUAAUUUUUUUUAUAAGACCAUAUUUAUAAAAAUUUUAUGACCUCGAUGUUGAAUUAAGAUUUAAUAAAAACGAAAAAAUUUUUAAAUUUAAGUCUGUUCGACU